AAGUCGUAACAAGGUUUCCGUAGKUGAACCUGCGGAAGGAUCAUUAACAAAUUACAAAMACUCGUGUUGCCCUCUUGCUUGUGACCAUGUCAACACUKUUCAGUCUUGGACAGGUACAUGUGUCUUCACAACAAGGGGGACGUUACCACAACAUUACACAUCUUGAUGGACAAUUUGAUCCGACGAUGGCCGUACUGUGUGUGUGCGUGCAUAUGUGUGGCAUCAUACGCCUUGUGCGUGUCUUCAUACAUCAUCAUACACAUACUUGAAUGGACAGCCUCGUCGACCAUUACACGCUAAUGGAAACAACUUUUAACAAUGGAUCUCUUGGCUCUUGCAACGAUGAAGAACGCAGCGAACUGCGAAACGUGAUGUGACCUGCACUCUUCGUGAAUCAUCCAAUCUUUGAACGCACUUUGCACCUGGUGGCUGUUGUGGUGACCAGGUAUACUUGUUUGAGUAUCUACAAUCCUCUCCACUCCCCCUUGGGGCGUAGUGGGACUUGAGAGCGCUCGAUCGUGCACACCCUGGCAUGAUGCUCUUCUUUCUUUCGUCAAGGAAAGAGAAAAGAGCCAUGCAUUUACAACAGAGUAUGAUGAUCGUCUCUUUAAAGAUAGGCCACAAGGUGGGUCUUGACACACGCUGGACGCUAGUCGUCCACGAGUGGUUAUUGGGAUAACAUCCUAACAAUAGCCAUGGGUCUUGACCGGCCGGCCAUCCUGAUGAAGGAGCACAUACAUCCAUAAUAUAAUAGAGAGUACUUUCUGUUCCCUCUAUGAUGAUGGAUGGUGCUUUCUUCCAUCAAGGGUGUGUGCUGUGUGUUGUGUGUUGUGCUUGCCUUUACAGGCUCGCCAUGCACACAUACACAAUGGGCAUCACCACUGAGAAAGGAUCUCAAAUCAAGUAAGGAUACCCGCUGAACUUAA
rnacentral:rRNA from 1 species